GUGCACGCUGGCGGUAGGCCUAACACAUGCCAGUCGAACGGCAGCACAGUAAGAGCUUGCUCUUACGGGUGGCGAGUGGCGGACGGGCGAGGAAUACAUCGGAAUCUACUUUUUCGUGGGGGAUAACGUAGGGAAACUUACGCUAAUACCGCAUACGACCUACGGGUGAAAGCAGGGGAUCUUCGGACCUUGCGCGAUUGAAUGAGCCGAUGUCGGAUUAGCUAGUUGGCGGGGUAAAGGCCCACCAAGGCGACGAUCCGUAGCUGGUCUGAGAGGAUGAUCAGCCACACUGGAACUGAGACACGGUCCAGACUCCUACGGGAGGCAGCAGUGGGGAAUAUUGGACAAUGGGCGCAAGCCUGAUCCAGCCAUACCGCGUGGGUGAAGAAGGCCUUCGGGUUGUAAAGCCCUUUUGUUGGGAAAGAAAAGCAGCAGGUUAAUACCCCGCUGUUCUGACGGUACCCAAAGAAUAAGCACCGGCUAACUUCGUG
rnacentral:rRNA from 1 species